CAAGGCCGUGCCCUAUUGGCCGCAGUUCGGGGCUCAGCCAAUCGCGGCGCGGGCCGUGCGGCAUUGUGGGGGCUGUAGUCUCGCGGUGGCCGCCCACUGGACCAGGAGCACGAGGUGCGGCGCCCAGACGGCGCGUAGCCAGAUGGCCGGCUGAGGAGUGCAGGUUCGCGGUGAAAAGACGGAGAGCGUGAAGGCGGUGAGGAAGACAGCGACGCCGCGGUGCCAGGAGAGAAGCUGGCGGGAGGCGCCGCUCUGGGGGGGAGGCGGUGGAGGAAGAACUUCGUGCAAAGGCCCUGAGGCAGGAGGAGAGCGAGGGCCCAGCGCGGGCCCGGAGUGCGGGAGCGUGCAGAGCAGACCCGGAGGCGGGCUGAAGCUGCUGACUCGCGUUGAUCUGCCACAGUGGGCCCGGAGCUGAGUUUGGGAUCUGGAACUGGGGAACCCCCGACUGCUCCAUGAAAUAGCAAAAUGUGGCUGUGCGGGACAUGGCAUUCCCGGCCACCAGAGAAUGCUCUUUACCUGCACGUCUGAACAUGUGGCUUCCUCGGCUGACUCAGCAGGACGAGUGAGCCUCAGAGCCUAGAGAACCGAGCCCCAGCUUUCCCUGCCUCGGCAACUGUCACCCCCAUUCACAUCCACUGGCCGUUCAGGCCCACUGCCCCUCCCACCUACAAGAGUGGGGAAGUGCCGUCUGCUGUGAGUAGAAGGAGAAAGGAAACGUCUGAACACUAGACCAUCAGGCACAACUGGUGAAUGAACAGCUCACAGACCCCUUACUGUUUCCUGAGAAGGUCCAUGUAAGAAAGAUGUACUGAUAAUAACCGAGAAACUCGAGACGCUGAAAGGUCACACUGAGACAAAAUCACAAUCCAUUCUGUGCACGGGUGUCGUGACGACAGCAUACACACAUCUUCUGCCACACAGUAACUGUGUUCCAUGGAUCUUCUGUCUUACCAAGGUGUUUCCUGGGUGCUAAGAUGGUCACCCAGCGAUGCGGGCACGUGUGUACCUUUGAAAGCAAGUUGUCGUCUCUUGCCUGACUUUCCCUUCUGCUGUGUGCUGAGACACGCUUCCUCUGGGCUAAAGUUUGGAGACCACUGGGGAGGAGUGGAGCCCUGAUGAGAAGGGGGCUGGAGUGACGGAUACUCUCGUGCAGGAGGCUCGGGGGGCCCACGGUCUGGGAGCCGCCCAGAGGAGUCACCGAGGGAGUGGGGCCCCAGUGCUGGGGAGCAUGUCCGUGUUUUAUGUGACUCUUCACCUCUGAGCCUCAGGCUCCUUGUCUGUAGGAUGGGGGUGACGCAGCCCCUGGUAACCACCCCCCUGCAGGCCAGGAAAAUGAGAGUAGCUGGAUGUGGGGCCAUUUGUAGUGUUCAGGAUGUCUGGGCUCACGUUGAGGCUUUUGCUGAGCGGACUGUGAGCUGGAUGGCUUCUGAGAGGUGGAGGAUAGGGGCGGAGCCAGCUCCGUUGAAGGAGAGUGGGCUUUGGAGUGAAGGAAGAAAGGCAGAAACCUGGUUGGAGAGGAAAUAUGGGAAAGGCGGUUAUGAUUCCAAGUGGCAGAUGGAUAGAUUUUGUUCAGUAAUACAUGGUAGGACCCUCUCUUUCUUCCCAUGUAAUUCAUUUUCACUGAAGUUUGCCUCAGUCAGCAGUGCCUUUAAAUUGGAUUAGGUAGUUUCAUUUGUGUCUGGCCCCAGGCAGGCUCAAGGAACCUCCCCCAAAUCCAUCCUUGGACCAUCAGUAAGAACCCUUGAGAGGAUAGUUGGCCAACGGUGGCCCUAGGGAAGGAAGUGGCAGGGCCCUGAGUAGGAGGAGAAUGGGCUGUGGCGGGGAAAACUGCGGAAAGGCUGGUUGGAUCGUGAGGACAGAGGCCUUGAAUGCUGGGUAUGUCCUUCCACCCUGAGGCACGGCAGUGGAAGACUCUUGGUUUGGGGGCUGUGCUUUGGGAAGCUCUCUGCAGCCCCACAGUGGAGGACAUCUUUGCAGUAGCUGUGGAGGUAGAUGGCUGAUGACAGGGCCCGUCCCUGAAGCACAGCCUGCCCCUCACCAGCACCCUCCCCACUGCCCCGGCCUGGCAGACACUGGUGGUCCGGGAACCUCCUCUCUCCAGCCUUGCGCUUCCCCAGGGAGGGACAGGCAUUAGCGUGACACUCGGGUAGAAGUUCGUGCGGGGAUUCGGCCUGUGACACCGUGGCAGCCCUCUCCUCUCCCCUCCCCUCCCCUCUCCUCUCCCCUCCCCUCCCCUCCCCUCCCCUCCCCCCCCCCUCCCCCCUCCCCCUCCCCUCCCCCCCCUCGCCUCGCCUCGCCUCGCCUCGCCUCUCCUCUCCUCUCCUCUCCUCUCCUCUGCCAGCCUGGGUUCAGAGCAUCACACCUGCUCACCUCUGUCCGCCCAGCUGGAGGGAGCAGCUGCGGAAGGGCGCUCUCCCUUUCAGCACAAAGCAAUCUCUCCCAGAAGCCAGUCUCUCCUGGAGUCACGCUGGUCACCCCAGCCAGGGCCUGCCCCGGCAGAGGGGGCAGGGUGGCCACGGCAGGUUAAACCUGCGCGGAUCACUCCCCAGGCCUGACGGAACCAGCCGCCGGCACCGGUAAGCGGCCCCCUUACGGUGCCCCCCUCAAGCACCCCUUUCAGCUGCUCUCGGGACCGGGCGGCUGCGUGCAUAAGCGUGCCCGGGAGGGACAGGGCGCACCGGCCGCCGGGAGCCUGCGCCCCAGCGCCUCCCCAGGACGGUCACCCCCUGUCGCGGUUCUCCUGAGGGCAGCUUGCUGCGCGUGGGCGGCUGGGGACCGUGGGCGCUGUGAGCUCAGUGGGAAGGGAGAGACGCUGGCUCAGCAAAGCCGCGUGGGCCACGGACUGCGGCGGCGUCGCCGGAGCGGAGUCCGGUCAGCCUAUUGCAGCCUCCUGGCGGAUCAGUCUGGCUGUACGCGCCCCACCCCCGCACACGCAUGCACACGCAGGUACGCACGCGCAGGUACACACAUGCGUACGCACGUGCCCGCCCACGGCUGUAACCUGAGCUGGGCUUCCCGUCUCCAGCACAGGCUCUGGCCCUGCUCCUGACCCUGAGGCUCCAGCUACAUCCCUGAAUUCCGGGCACCUGGCACAGGGCAUGGGACGGAGCGGGCGCUCAAGGCAUCGGUGACUGAGUCACUGACUGGCUGGCUGAAUGGGCUCCCCUACUGGUGAGUGCGUUGCUCCAGGUUCAGAGAGGCAAGAAACUGAGUAAUUAAGAGUGAAGAUUUUCUUCUCAGUCCCAGCUCGGCUGCCCGUGUGGUCUCCAAAAAGUUCCUUCACCUCCCUCUGCCACGGUUUCCCCAUCUGUAAAACAGGCAUAAGCACAGUACCUACCUGUAGCGCUGAUGUGGGAUUGCAUGAGUUAAUACAUGUCAUGGACCCAGAACAAUACCUGGCAAAGAGGGAAGCACUCAGUUAUCACUAGUUAUUGCUGUGCUACACAUCAUCCAAAGGAGCCUGCCAGCUGAGGCUCAGACAGGGGACAUGGCUUGCCUGAGGUCACACAGCAGGAAGGAGGCAGACAUGAGAUCUGAACCCUGGUCCCAACGUCUCAGAAGCCAGAGCCCUUUCUAGGGUCCCACCUGGCUGUGGCGCCUCCCUUGAAGCAUGGCCUGCCGGGCCCUUGGGUGCGGGGCUUGGGAACUGGGGUGAAGGCCCGGGAAAGGGGGUUGGGGUGAGGGAGGGCAAGAGGGUCUGCUGGGGAGACCGUCCUGGUACUGGCUCCCUGCCCCACUCUCGAUCCCUUGCACCCCCUGCAGCUGCAUCCACUCCCCACCAUGGGACUCUUACAGAGUUUUAUGAAUCAUUAAAAUGUAUGCACAGACUUUAAGGAAGUAACACUGGGCUGUAAUAAGAGCUACAAAUUGACAGGAUUCCUCAGAGAGCUCAGUGGUAAACCUGGUUGCCUACUUGGCAAGAUGGUUUUCCAGCCUUUUGCGUCUAUUAGCAGGGGAAGGGAGGGACCGACCAGGGAGUGCCCCAUGAGCUCUGAGCAGCCAUAGGAGGCUCCUUCAGAGCGGCCUAUGCCAGAGCAGCGGCCACACCAGAGCGUUGGGGGGGACCGUUACCUCCCUCCCAUCAUCUCCGUCACCCCUCUCAGCCAUGCUAAACAAAAUACCCUCUAAGUGGAAGCCUUGUGUUUGCAUUGCAAAUGGAGCUUCAAGAUAGCCUCCCAGGUUUUCACCUGUGUGAUAGAGAAGAACAUUUGUUUUAAUUUUAGUUGCAAUUCCCUGACUAUUACUGUAUCUAAAGCUCAGCAUCUUUACAUUUGUGCUGGUCCUUGAUACUCUUUUAUCUGUGAAUCACCUUCUCAUACACCUGGCCCCCCUUGCUUGUUUUGUUCUGUUUUGGUUUGGGUCCUUUCGUUACUGGUUUGCAGGAGCUUUUAUAAGCUCUAGCUGUCACUCCUCUUUUCCAGUGCUCUAUUUUCUCCCAUCUGCCACUUGUCUUUUAACUGUAGGUCAUUUUUUGACAAACAAGUUCAAACUUUUUUCAUUCAGAUAUCUAAUUCAUGCUCUUUUUUGGGUUGUAGAUUUUACGUAUUAAUAAGGAAGUAUCUCCUACUGAACUUGUAAACAGUUUUUUAACGUUUACCUUUUAAAACCAUUUGCAGUUUAUUUUUUAUUAUGCUAUGGGAUUAUGCUGGAUAGAAUGUUUUCGUAUAAAUAGCCAAUUAUGUAGAUUUUAUAUAUAGCCCUUAUCAUUUAUUGAAUAUUUUGUUUUGCCACUGAAUUUAAAAAGCCAACUUCAUGAUAAACUAUUUUCCGUAUGUACAUAGUACACUGCUAGAUUUGUUUCUCUAUUCUUUAGCUUUUUUAUAGCAACUCACCACUGAUUUAACUACUAUAACUUUAUCAGAUAUUUGGAUAUCUGACAAGGCAAGUCCCCUCAUUGUUUUUCUCUUUUAAAUUUUCUUGACCACCUCUGGAGAUUUCCCUUCUCGGGGAAAGAAAUCAUCUUGUCAUAUACCAUUAACAGUCUUCCUGAGAUUUCAACUGGGGUUCCAUUGGAUUUAUAGAUUAAUUUAUGGGAGAGCUGAUAUAGCUAACUCUUCUUGAAGGCCUUUCAGUAAAGUUUGGUAGCUUUCUUUAUUUAGUAUUUAAACAUU